rnacentral:tRNA from 2 species
GGGCGGUUAGCUCAGCGGUAGAGCGGCUCGUUUACACCGAGCGGGUCGGCGGUUCGAUCCCGUCACCGCCCACCA